UGGCUCAGUGGUAGAGUGCUUGCCUUGCACGCAUGAGGCCCUGGGUUCAAUUCCUCAG
rnacentral:tRNA from 1 species